rnacentral:tRNA from 1 species
UCUAAGGAUGAAUGAAAGUAAAAUUUCAUUCUAAAUAAUAUACAUCGGUAAUGUUGACCGUCCUCAUUUCUCUUCUUAAAGUAGUGUUUCUCUUGCAUGGGGGCCGGUAGCUCAGUUGGUUAGAGCACACCCUUGAUAAGGGUGGGGUCGAAAGUUCGAGUCUUUCUCGGCCCACCAAAUUAAGAUCAUGGGGGAUUAGCUCAGCUGGGAGAGCGCCUGAUUUGCAUUCAGGAGGUCAGCGGUUCGAUCCCGCUAUCCUCCACCAAAACACUUAGUUAUAAAAAUCGUAAAUAAAAAUAAUAAUUAAUAUCAAUAUCUAUAUCCGAACAUUAGUAAUGUUAUUAGCUAAUGUUCAAAAUAAAAAUUUGAUUCAACACAGAAUUUUUUUCUGUGCAUAAAU